AGGGGGGGGGGAAACGGGGGGUGUUGGUUUAUUUAUGGCGCUUUGUUCUGCGGCGCUGCUGUUGGGGAUGCGGUGGUGCAGGGAGAGACUUCAGCUUGGAGGGGAGGGUUUGGGGGUGGGGAUGUCCGAAAUGCUGGGGGUGAGCGGCUCCUGGGGGGGGUUCCACGUGGGAUAACAGCAAAAGCAAAGGGCCGGGCCGGGCUGGGCCAGCAGUGAGGCCAAAACGCACCGCUGUGCGCCCCGAAAUCCGCUGCUGGGUGUGCAAAGCGUUGGCGGUGCGUCUUUGCAGAGGGGCAGCUCCCACCACGGCCGUCCAAUUCCGCCUCUUUGGCAGUGGAUUCCCCGGGGUGCACUGCAUCUGUGCGCAGCCACGCCGUGUGUGCGUUGCACAGAGACACCGGCCCUUGGCGUGCUGCUGUGUGUGCAAGGGCGGGCGGUGACGUGCAAUGGUCUGCAAGGACGUGCAAAGGUGUGCAAGGGUGUGUGAUUUGCAAGGAGGUGAGAAGGUAUGCAAGGAUGUGUGAGGGCAGACAACGGUGUGCAGUGGUGUGCAAAGGUGAGCAGGGGUUUGCAAGGAUGUGCAAAGGUGUGCAAGGAUGUGCAAAGGUGUGCAAGGGUGUGUGAUUUGCAAGGAGGUGCAAAGGUGUGCAAGGAUGUGUGAGGGCAGACAAUGGUGUGCAAUGGUGUGCAAAGGUGAGUAGGGGUUUGCAAGGAUGUGCAAAGGUGUGCAAGGGUGUGUGAUGUGCAAGGAGGUGAAAGGGUGUGCAAGGAUGUGUGAGGGCAGACAACGGUGUGCAGUGGUGUGCAAAGGAGAGUAGGGGUGAGUAGGGGUUUGCAAGGGUGUGCAAAGGUGUGCAAGGAUGUGCAAAGGUGUGCAAGGGUGUGUGAUUUGCAAGGAGGUGCAAAGGUGUGCAAGGAUGUGUGAGGGCAGACAAUGGUGUGCAAUGGUGUGCAAAGGUGAGUAAGGAUAUGGGAUGCAGGAUAUGGGAUGUCGGAUAUGGAGUUCAGGAUAUGGGAUGCAGGAUAUGGGAUGC
ensembl:lncRNA